rnacentral:rRNA from 1 species
UGCCAAACUCUAGCCCAAAAGACAUUGACCUGGAAUAACAAAGCCACUCACUACACCCAACCAAAGCAUUUGUUAGUCUUAGUAUAGGCGAUAGAAAAGACACCACUGGAGCGAUAGAGACCACGUACCGUAAGGGAAAGAUGAAAUAGCAGUGAAAUAACUAAGCUAAAAACAGCAAAGAUCAGCCCUUGUACCUCUUGCAUCAUGGUCUAGCAAGAAAAACCAAGCAAAAUGAAUUGUAGUUUGCCUCCCCGAAACCCAAGCGAGCUACUUACGAGCAGCUACUUUGAGCGAACCCGUCUCUGUGGCAAAAGAGUGGGAUGACUUGUUAGUAGAGGUGAAAAGCCAACCGAGCUGGGUGAUAGCUGGUUGCCUGUGAAACGAAUCUUAGUUCACUCUUAAUUCUUCUCCAAGGAACACCUGAACCCUAAUGAAGCGAAUUAAGGGCUAUUUAAAGGGGGUACAGCUCCUUUAAAAAAGAGUACAAUCUCCACGAGCGGAUAAGCAAAUAUUUCCACCAUACUGUGGGCCCUCAAGCAGCCAUCAACAAAGAGUGCGUUAAAGCUCUACUACCAAAAAUAUAUGAACACUGCGACUCCCUCCUCAUUAACAGGCUAACCUAUAGUCAAUAGGAGAAUUAAUGCUAGAAUGAGUAACCUGGGUCCUCCCUCUUCGACGCAAGCUUACAUCUUUACAUUAUUAACAAACCACCCAUAUACGACCAAUCCAACAAGCACAGUAUUAGGCAUUUUGUUAACCCGACAAAGGAGCGUCCGCUAAGAAAGAUUAAAACCUGUAAAAGGAACUAGGCAAACCCGUCAAGGCCCGACUGUUUACCAAAAACAUAGCCUUCAGCAAACCCCCAACAAGUAUUGAAGGUGAUGCCUGCCCGGUGACCUGAGGUUUAACGGCCGCGGUAUCCUGACCGUGCAAAGGUAGCGCAAUCAAUUGUCCCGUAAAUCGGGACUAGUAUGAAUGGCUAAACGAGGUCUUAACUGUCUCUUACAGGCGAUCGGUGAAAUUGAUCUCCCUGUGCAAAAGCAGGGAUAACCCCAUAAGACGAGAAGACCCUGUGGAACUUCAAAACCAACAGCCACCCUAGGUUAUCUACACCCCCACUGGGCUCACACCUACCCUGGCUCCUGGCUGGUGUUUUUCGGUUGGGGCGACCUUGGAGAAAAACAAAUCCUCCAAAAAUUAGACCAUCCCUCUAGACUGAGAGCAACCCCUCAACGUGCUAAUAGCAACCAGACCCAAUAUAAUUGAUCAAUGGACCAAGCUACCCCAGGGAUAACAGCGCAAUCUCCCCCGAGAGUCCAUAUCGACGAGGAGGUUUACGACCUCGAUGUUGGAUCAGGACAUCCUAGUGGUGCAGCCGCUACUAAGGGUUCGUUUGUUCAACGAUUAACAGUCCUACGUGAUCUGAGUUCAGACCGGAGCAAUCCAGGUCGGUUUCUAUCUAUGAUGAACCCUUCCCAGUACGAAAGGAUAGGAAGAGUGGGGCCAAUGCCACAAGUAAGCCCCCGCCCCAAGUGGUGAAACCAACUAAACUGCGAAAGGCUAUCACACCACACCACGUCCUAGAAAAGGAC